AUUGAACGCUGGCGGCAGGCCUAACACAUGCAAGUCGAGCGGUAGCACAGGAGAGCUUGCUCUCUGGGUGACGAGCGGCGGACGGGUGAGUAAUGUCUGGGAAACUGCCUGAUGGAGGGGGAUAACUACUGGAAACGGUAGCUAAUACCGUCAUAACGUCUUCGGACCAAAGUGGGGGACCUUCGGGCCUCACGCCAUCAGAUGUGCCC
rnacentral:rRNA from 1 species